AUACGGAGGAUCCGAGCGUUAUCCGGAUUUAUUGGGUUUAAAGGGUGCGCAGGCGGGAGAUUAAGUCGGCGGUGAAAUUUUGCAGCUCAACUGUAAAAGUGCCUUCGAAACUGGGUUUUUGGGUGUAGAUGGAGGAGGGGGAAUUUGUGGGGUAGCGGGUAAAUGCAUAGAUAUCACGAGGAACUCCGAUUGCGCAGGCAGCUUACUAAACUACUACUGACGCUCAGGCACGAAGGCGUGGGGAUCAAACAGGAUUAGAUACCCUGGUAGUCCACGCAGUAAACGAUGAUUACUAGCUGUUUGCGAUACAAUGUAAGCGGCUGAGCGAAAGCGUUAAGUAAUCCACCUGGGGAGUACGUUCGCAAGAAUGAAACUCAAAGGAAUUGGCGGGG
rnacentral:rRNA from 1 species